GAUGAACGCUGGCGGCGUGCCUAAUACAUGCAAGUCGAGCGAACAGACGAGGAGCUCGCUCCUCUGACGUUAGCGGCAGACGGGUGAGUAACACGUGGAUAACCUACCUAUAAGACUGGGAUAACUUCGGGAAACCGGAGCUAAUACCGGAUAAUAUAUUGAACCGCAUGGUUCAAUAGUGAAAGACGGUUUUGCUGUCACUUAUAGAUGGAUCCGCGCCGCAUUAGCUAGUUGGUAAGGUAACGGCUUACCAAGGCAACGAUGCGUAGCCGACCUGAGAGGGUGAUCGGCCACACUGGAACUGAGACACGGUCCAGACUCCUACGGGAGGCAGCAGUAGGGAAUCUUCCGCAAUGGGCGAAAGCCUGACGGAGCAACGCCGCGUGAGUGAUGAAGGUCUUCGGAUCGUAAAACUCUGUUAUUAGGGAAGAACAAAUGUGUAAGUAACUAUGCACGUCUUGACGGUACCUAAUCAGAAAGCCACGGCUAACUACGUG
rnacentral:rRNA from 1 species